GAUGAACGCUGGCGGCGUGCCUAAUACAUGCAAGUCGAGCGAAUUGACAGAGGUGCUUGCACCUCUCGAUUUUAGCGGCGGACGGGUGAGUAACACGUGGGUAACCUACCUAUAAGACUGGGAUAACUUCGCGAAACCGGAGCUAAUACCGGAUAAUAUUUAGCUUCGCAUGAAGCAAUAGUGAAAGACGGUUCUGCUGUCACUUAUAGAUGGACCUGCGGUGUAUUAGCUAGUUGGUGAGGUAACGGCUCACCAAGGCAACGAUACAUAGCCGACCUGAGAGGGGGAGCGGCCACACUGGGACUGAGACACGGCCCAGACUCCUACGGGAGGCAGCAGUAGGGAAUCUUCCGCAAUGGACGAAAGUCUGACGGAGCAACGCCGCGUGAGUGAAGAAGGUUUUCGGAUCGUAAAACUCUGUUGUAAGGGAAGAACAAGUACGUUAGUAACUGAACGUACCUUGACGGUACCUUACCAGAAAGCCACGGCUAACUACGUGCCAGCCGCCGCGGUAACAC
rnacentral:rRNA from 1 species